GGGUUGCUAACUCAAUGGUAGAGUACUCGGCCGGGUUCAAGUCCCGGGCAACCCA
rnacentral:tRNA from 7 species